CUGGACACAGACUCUGGCCCUGGCGCCUCGGCCAGGCCUGGGGAGGGGGAUUCCCCACCGAUACCUGGAGGACCCCAAAGACUCUGGGCCGCACGACUCAGGCCUUCUGUCCUCUGGGUUCCGGCCCAGUGCCACACUGGCCUGAGCCUGGCCUAUGUUGGCCACCCUUCAUCAAAAGGUGGGGUCAAGGGUCACAGAGAAGCCAUCUCUCUGACCUUGGCAUUUGAGGGUGCUGCUAGCCUCCAGACCCUGACAAGGCCCCAUUCCCAAGCUUCGCUUCGGCCGUUGGCCCAGGGGGGCCGGGAGCACCGCUUCCCACCUUAGCAAGCAGGAAAAGGAAGUGGCGGUGACUGGAGUCCGGCUGUGGAGCUACAGACCCCGAGCAUGCGCAGCCUGUGACCUGGAAUCCUGCACUGGAAGAGCAGGAGGCUUGCGGGUGCCAGGGACAGGGCCAAGAGUCCCAAAGACAGUGGACACUGAGCUCUGAGGCCGGACUGAUGGAGAAGGCUCCAGGGAGGAGGAGGCCCAGUAAGCAAGAUGGAUUUCGUCAGGGUCUGACGGUGCACGCCUGUCUCCUCAGCACUCUGGGAGGCUGAGGCAGGACGACCCCAAGUUCAAGCCUGGGCAACGUGGUGACUCAGCAAAGACCCUGUCUCAAAAUAAAAAAUGAAAAAGGGCUGGAGAUGUAGCUCAGUGAGAAGGCCCUCAGUUCAAUCCCCAAGGCCACCAAAAAUAAACCAAAAAGGAAAGAAAGAAAAUAAAC
rnacentral:lncRNA from 1 species